rnacentral:sRNA from 1 species
GUCAGGUGCGAUGGUUUCUGCCUGUUAUCUCAGCUACUUUGGAGGCUGAAGCAGGAGUAUCACUUGAGCCCAGGAUUUCAAAGCCAGUCUGGGCAACAUAGACUCAGUCUCAA